GACGAACCGUGCGAACGUUGUUCGGAUUCACUGGGCUUAAAGGGCGCGUAGGCGGCGGCUCAAGUCGGGGGUGAAAUCCCUCCGCUUAACGGGAGAACUGCCUUCGAUACUGGGUCGCUGGAGGGAGAUAGGGGUGCGCGGAACUUCCGGUGGAGCGGUGAAAUGCGUAGAUAUCGGAAGGAACGCCGGUGGCGAAAGCGGCGCACUGGAUCUCUUCUGACGCUGAGGCGCGAAAGCCAGGGGAGCGAACGGG
rnacentral:rRNA from 1 species